rfam:Ornithorhynchus anatinus chromosome 5, whole genome shotgun sequence.
CCCCUCUCAGGGUCACACCUGGAGACUUUCCAGUACUCUACCAGUCUCGGCUACCGGAGGGAGAGUCAGGCAGAGGUCUACCCAUUUCAUUCCUAGCUUGGGCAGUGGCUACCGAGUGGAAGGCCAUCUGCUACAAGU